rnacentral:rRNA from 1 species
UACAGAGGUGGCAAGCGUUGUUCGGAAUUACUGGGCGUAAAGGGCGCGUAGGCGGUCCGAUAAGUCCCGUGUGAAAUCCCUCGGCUCAACUGAGGAAUGGCACGGGAAACUGCCGGGCUUGAGUUCGGGAGAGGGAAGCGGAAUUCCGGGUGUAGCGGUGAAAUGCGUAGAUAUCCGGAGGAACACCGGUGGCGAAGGCGGCUUCCUGGACCGACACUGACGCUGAGGCGCGAAAGCCAGGGGAGCAAACGGG